rnacentral:rRNA from 1 species
UAUGAAGCUUUACUGUAGCUUGGAAUUGAAUUUGGGUUUAAUUUGCGCAGCAUAGGUGGGAGGCUAAGAUUUUUCAUUUGAGGAUGAAAAGGAGCCAACAGUGAGAUACCACUCUAAUUAAACUAGAAUUCUAAUCUUGAAGCCGUUAGCCGGCCAAGAGACAUUUUCUGGUGGGCAGUUUGACUGGGGCGGUCGCCUCCUAAAAGGUAACGGAGGCGUGCAAAGGUUUCCUCAGGCUGGUCGGAAAUCAGUCGUAGAGUGUAAAGGCAUAAGGAAGCUUGACUGCAAGACCUACAAGUCGAGCAGAGACGAAAGUCGGCCUUAGUGAUCCGACAGUUCUGAGUGGAAAGGCUGUCGCUCAACGGAUAAAAGUUACUCUAGGG